UGCAAGUGGUAUUCAAAUGAAGAAGGAACCAUCCGUGUUCCAACAACAAACCACUGACUGUUUAUGCAGUAUAUAGCCUUGACCUCUAAGAAAAUAGGAAUGUCCUCACUUUCAAGGAAUUCAAUCACUUUCAACUCUCCAAUACGAUAAGGCACAUCAUUGCAGACAAGUGAUUUUGUUGUUUGCAUCACAAGGUCUUCCAGAGGCACAUCUAUCCUUUUCAGCAAUGCCUGUGAAGCACUAUUUGGUAGACACCCUCCUCUAAUUUCACUGCAGCUCCCAGUGUGGCUUACUUCUUUCCCCAAACUUUUCUCAUUAGCCUGCUCCCAGCACUGUCUCAUCUGAUGCCUUGUUGCCAGCGUCUUUGUGAUGUUUUUGAAGUUGCACACCACGGAUGACAGUUUUUUGAAGUACUGGUGUUUAGCUUCAAAUCGCAUGCAUGAGAGGUAGACUAGUGGCCCAUAGAGGGUAAUUAAUUGUGGAUAAUGCACAAUGUAGUGCAUCUUUGGAAUGGACAGAUUCUCAAAAAGAUCUUUCUUUUCUCCAAAUAUGGCAUCCAUGAUCUUCUGACAGCUGGUGCCAUUAUGAUAUCCACAACCUCACGUAGCAACAGGUAGCAGUCCCAGCACUUGUUAGGCACAAUCAAGGGACCAAUCAAAAGAGGUAGAAGGCGAAACAGAGUCCACUUCUCAGAGGCACUCCCAGAGAGCUGACCACCACUUCUCAGCAUCCUCUCUGUAAUGGGUUGAGGCUGGGAUGUUUUAUUAUUUCAACCAUAUUGGUAGUUUUCAAUUUCAUAGUUCAACUGACCAAGAGUUAGUAUCCUAUCCCUUAUCAUUUUCUUCAAGAUGUGUUUGAGAACAAAAAGGAUCACACCCUCUAGAACAUCAUGCAUUAGAUCAGGAGGAAAGAGGUGCAUCAUUAAAGCUGGGGUGUAGUUUAGACUGGCAAAGCAACAUGGUCGAAUCACACCAUACACUAAACCAUUUUCAGGAUCUUCUUCCACAGCCCUGAGGUGAUAACUGUAGUUGUUCCCAUCCCUCAUCACAUACUCUUCUUCUCUGAACUUUGCCCUCACUUCCUCUCUUGUUGCCAUGCAAAAUCGGCAUAUACGCCCAUGACUAAAGUUUCUAGAAAAGCCUGCAACAGCGUGAGAUGCGAGGUUGUCGCCUGAGAUGGUGGCAAUAGAGCCAAAAAAUCGCUUUGACUCUCCGCAGCAUUCUAACAAAACUCCCUCUGUCUCGAGGAGCUUAACAUCAUCUAUGAGAGGCCUGAAUAUGUGUCUUUAUGGAUAAAUUUGUGUUUUACCAAGAUGGAAAGGUAGAUGUGCUCAACUUUGGAUAUAUAACGAUGGUGAAGAUUUCCUAAUUUGAAAUACACAGCAGUUAGUUUGUGCUUUCCUCUCUUUGCUCCAAGGGGAUUGACAAUCUCAAAUUCAUCAACACUGAAAAAAAUGAUUUUGACAUGUAGUAAUUUUUCCCUAAAUGAAACUGUAUUUAUAUACUCAAUUUGUUUGUGUUUUGCAAAAACUCAUUUCAGAUAAGUAAUAUUUGCAAGAAAAAAAUUUGUUUGUGUUUUAGAAAAAACUAAUUUCAGUUAAGUAAUAUCUGCAAGAAAAAAAGGGGUUUUGCUUCAGAGGCGGUACUGCGCAUGCGUUUAUAUGGCUGCCAAAAGACGAUUGUCCUCCAUUUUGCAAACGGUUCCGUUGGCUUGAAGAGAUCUGCACUUGAAACCUUCGGUUUUGACUUUUAACGACAGAGACUGUACAUCUGAGGAGGGAGGCAGCCAUCAAGACCCUGUGCCUUUAUUUUGGUGAAGAUGAUGAUUCUCUCAUACAUGUACAUGGAUAUCCAUGGCAAGGAGGUGUCAAGAGAAAACCACCCCUUGGAACAUGAGGACAUCGGCAUCGUUGUGGAUGGAGGCAUCAUUUUGGAGGAACCUGGUCUGUUGCACAAGGCUGUGCAGUGAAGCCAGAGACUUUCUAAUGAGGAGACACAGCACUCAAAAAAUCCUCCAUAGAAAUGCAUGGGGUUAGUUAGU